ACCUGCCAGUUUGCUCCUGAGCAAAGCUGAAAGGCCUGCUGUAGUGAACUCAAGCCUCCCCAAGCCCCCUGUCGCCAGGAGAUAUCAAAGCAGGGAAAGGCCACUGUGGAUGGCUGGAGAAGGAGGGAAAGGAGGACCUCGUGGGAGCUCCUGGAGAAGUUCUACUGAAGACAGCUCAUCCAUGCAGGUCCUCAACACUGUCCCGUGAAGUGGCUAACUGGAUCUUGCCUAACCCAGCAAACAGUGCAUUUCUAGUGUCUGGGAAGUAGCUAGAAAACUGUGGCCCCCAGAAAUCUGAAGAUUACCUGUUUCUGCUCCUGUUCUAUGAAGCCCCGAAUACCAACGUCAGUUGUUUUAGAGUAGUUUACCUCAGAGCAGUAUGCCUGAGAAAGGUAUUUUUGAGUACAGAUUUUGAAUUUGAGCUUCCUUCGUGCAGCUGCCUACAUGGUUUAUGUGGAGUCAUGGCAGAAGUUCUUGGCAGAAGUAAGGCAGACUGUCCCCCUGGUUUCCAAGGCAUCUUACACUAAGGCACACCAGGGAAAGGCCAUGCCAGGACAUGGCGGCAAGGUAGCCCUCUGCAAGCCAAAAAGAGAGCUCUCACCAGAAACCAAAUGGGCCAGAACCUUGAUCUUAGACACCUAGCCUCCAGAACUAUGUGUCUUCUCUCAGCUCCCGGUGUUUUUCAUCUCCAAAACGCUGCAGGGAGCAAGGAAAGGUCUGUCUGCAGAGGCUUGGCAAGAGGAUACCCUCUCGAGUGUGAGCCCGACAGCUUCGACCUCCAGGUGGCCUUGGGGGCAAGCUCCACAGAGCAAGACAGACGGAGCUGGGCCCUAUCUCGCUGAGGCCUCGAGGAAGCCAGUGCUGGUCCACCUGAUUCCAGACUUGUGUGUGAGAGAAAAAUGGACCGCAGGCUUGUGUGAGCCACUGCGUUAGAGCUCCGAGCUUCCUUCCGACGUGCCCGGUUGCUCCAUCGGGAGCCGUCCCAGGUUGGGGCUUCCCACUGCAAGUUGUCUCCAUUUACCCCGCGUGCCACCAGCUGCAAAGGGUUAGGGAAUCCUGCCUAGGUCUCUGGUCCAUCAUUCAGCCCCUCCAGCCUCUGCCCUCACCUCUCUUGGAGCCCACUGUGCUGGCUCCGCAGCGCCCUGCGCCUUUGGCCAUCUUCCAGCGUGAGGUCUUUGCUGGGGCACCAUAUUCACCGUCACCAACCUUAGGUGGAUCCCUGAUGCUGGAGAAGCCUUCUCUGGGUCUUAGCUCCCUCUCCCACUGUCCUCCAGUACUUUUCCAUUCUCCAUUGCCUUAACAAAACAAGACAAAAAAAACCCUCCCCAGCUGCAGCACCCUUUCUUUGUGAAUAAUCUUACUUGGUACUUUGCUGAAAAAAAAUUAAGGCCAUCAGAUAGUAACUUUUUUAGCUACCUCCUCCGCCAGACACAAGUUCAUAGUGUUGGCAUACAUAUUGGGAAACGAUUCUCCACCAAUCUCUUAAGUUUCUAGAUGCCUAGGCGUUGAUAGUCAAUUCAGACUAUGUUUUGGAGAGUGUAUAAGCAGGCAGCCUUAGAAAGAUAGGAAUGUCUCUUUCAGCACAGAUUUUAAAAGAUUGUGGUAUCUUUUUCCCCUCCCCAGAACAGACUUACAUUCCAGGGUAAUAAAGAUAAUGGUUCUCCCUGGAAAGGAGAAUGGGCAGGUUUUUCAGACACUCUUAUAUGAGAUGGGGAUUUCCUAAUCUCAGGGCCCCCUUUCUAUAACCCACCCCACUGCAUGUGCAGGCAACACUUGGACCUAAUCAUUUUGCUCUGUGGGAAUUGGGAUUUGGAGAACAGGUGCAAGACGUUACUCUGCCUACUACUGUUGCUGUGAGUGAUUAACUUUGUUGCUUGUUCGGUUUUUUGUUUUGUUUUUUGAAGUAUAAUUGACAUAUAACAUAUUAGUUUCAGGUGUACC